rnacentral:rRNA from 1 species
GACGAACGCUGGCGGCGUGCUUAACACAUGCAAGUCGAGCGCUGAAGCCUUUCGGGGUGGAUGAGCGGCGAACGGGUGAGUAACACGUGGGUGACCUGCCCUCAGCUCUGGGAUAAGCCUGGGAAACUGGGUCUAAUACCGGAUAUGACCUUUCCUCGCAUGGGGUUUGGUGGAAAGUUUUUCGGCGUGGGGAGUGGGCCCGGCCGGCCUAUCAGCUUGUUGGUGGGGUGAUGGCCUACCAAGGCGACGACGGGUAGCCGGCCUGAGAGGGCGUCCGGCCACACUGGGACUGAGACACGGCCCAGACUCCUACGGGAGGCAGCAGUGGGGAAGUAUUGCGCAAUGGGCGGAAGCCUGACGCAGCGACGCCGCGUGGGGGAUGACGGCCUUCGGUU